rnacentral:rRNA from 1 species
UGGGAUAACCUCGGGAAACUGGGGAUAAUACCCCAUAGGUUAGGGUGGCUGGAAUGCCCCCUAGCUCAAAGGUCCGCCGCCACAGGAUGGGUCUGCGGCCGAUUAGGUUGUUGUUGGGGUAACGGCCCAACAAGCCUUUGAUCGGUACGGGUUGUGGGAGCAAGAGCCCGGAGAUGGAUUCUGAGACACGAAUCCAGGCCCUACGGGGCGCAGCAGGCGCGAAAACUUUACAAUGCGAGAAAUCGUGAUAAGGGAACCCCGAGUGCCCGUAAAUUCGGGCUGUCCGCCAGUGCAAAAAACUGGUGAAGAAAGAGCCGGGCAAGACCGGUGCCAGCCGCCGCGGUAAUACCGGCGGCUCGAGUGGUGGCCACUAUUACUGGGCUUAAAGCGUCCGUAGCUUGGUUGUUAAGUCUCCUGGGAAAUCCAUCGGCUCAACCGAUGGGCGUUCAGGAGAUACUGGCAACCUAGGGACCGGGAGAGGUGAGAGGUACUCCAGGGGUAGGAGUGAAAUCCUGUAAUCCUUGGGGGACCACCUGUGGCGAAGGCGUCUCACUAGAACGGCUCCGACAGUGAGGGACGAAAGCUGGGGGAGCAAACCGGAUUAGAUACCCGGGUAGUCCCAGCUGUAAACGAUGCGCGUUAGGUGUAUCGGUGACCACGAGUCACCGAGGUGCCGAAGGGAAACCGUGAAACGUGCCGCCUGGGAAGUACGGUCGCAAGGCUGAAACUUAAAGGAAUUGGCGGGGGAGCACCACAACAGGUGGAGCCUGCGGUUUAAUCGGACUCAACGCCGGGAAGCUCACCGGAUAAGACAGCUGAAUGAUAGCCGGGUUGAAGACUCUGCUUGACUAGCUGAGAGGAGGUGCAUGGCCGUCGUCAGUUCGUACUGUGAAGCAUCCUGUUUAAGUCAGGCAACGAGCGAGACCCACGCCAACAGUUGCCAGCAUGUCCUCCGGGAUGGUGGGGACACUGUUGGACCGCCUCUGCUAAGAAGGAGGAAGGAAUGGGCAACGGGUAGGUCA